AGCAGCCGCGGUAAUUCCAGCUCCAAUAGCGUAUAUUAAAGUUGUUGCAGUUAAAAGCUCGUAGUUGAAUUUCGGGGUCAGUACGCUGGUCAUGCCUUAGGUAUGCACUGGUGUCACUGGUUCCUCCCUUCUGACGAACCGACAUGCCAUUCACUUGGUGUGGCGGGAAAUCAGGACUGUUACUUUGAAGAAAUUAGAGUGUUUAAAGCAGGCUCACGCUUGAAUACAUUAGCAUGGAAUAAUGAAAUGGGACGUUGAUCUUAUUUUGUUGGUUUCUAGGAUUGACGUAAUGAUUAAUAGGGAUAGUUGGGGGCAUUAGUAUUCAAUUGUCAGAGGUGAAAUUCUUGGAUUUAUUGAAGACUAACUACUGCGAAAGCAUUUGCCAAGGAUGUUUUCAUUAAUCAAGAACGAAAGUUAGGGGAUCGAAGACGAUCAGAUACCGUCGUAGUCUUAACCAUAAACUAUGCCGACUAGGGAUCGGAUGAUGUUAAUUUUUUAAUUGUACUCU
rnacentral:misc_RNA from 1 species